rnacentral:rRNA from 1 species
AGAGGCUUCCGCAAUGGGGGAAACCCUGACGGAGCGACGCCGCGUGAGGGAUGAAGGCUUUCGGGUCGUAAACCUCUUUCAGGUGGGAAGAAAGGUUCGAGGGUGAACAAUCCUCGCGCUGUGACGGUACCACCAGAAGAAGCUCCGGCUAACUCCGUGCCAGCAGCCGCGGUAAUACGGGGGGAGCGAGCGUUGUUCGGAUUCAUUGGGCGUAAAGGGCGCGUAGGCGGUUUGGCAAGUCUGACGUGAAAUGUACCGGUUCAACCGGGGCGCUGUGUCAGAAACUGCCUUACUUGAGGCCGAGGGAGGAGAGUGGAAUUCCUGGUGUAGCGGUGAAAUGCGUAGAUAUCAGGAGGAACACCCGUGGCGAAGGCGACUCUCUAUCUCGGUUCUGACGCUGAGGCGCGAAAGCUAGGGGAGCAAAC